rnacentral:lncRNA from 1 species
GUUCUGGGAACCAUUUCAUUUAAGAUUGUGCGGAUUAGCAUGACCAUGGCUGAGAUAGAGGCAUAAGCGGAGAGAAGAACGGAAAAAGAAGGUAGCUCUUUCAACAGGGUAGCCAUUCCUGCGUUUUACUUGUUCUGCUCUCUUGAAAACAAGAGAGAAACAGUGAAGGCUGAAAGCAAGAGGAAAAGAGGAAAAGGUUCAAGUACGUAGCCGACUGAAGGCUAAGUAACACUAAGUACUCCUUAUAUAGCAAAAAAGCAUUUUGUAUGAAAAUGAAAAGUCUUCAUCGUGUCCAUAUUCAAUAGCAAUACAGUCACGAGUCAUGACUAAUCGCAUCAGGGACGAAGGACCUGGAAAAGAUACAAUGAGAACUGCUGGACUUAACCUGGCACACUGGCCCAUAGUAUUAAGAUCAACAGCUUCCAGGAAACUAUAAAAAAGGGGGAAAACGUCAAGUCGGCGACUUUUAUCUUCUAAAUACUUUGUUUGAAUAUUAUGUAUAUGUAAAUGUAAUAAGAUCAUAUCAUUUGUGCAAAAAAGUUCAAAAUCAAAUUGCUUCAUAGUUAAUUUCCUGGGCUCGUCUUACUUGGUUUUGCUGAAACAAAACUUUAAUACAGGUCCAUGGCUCUUUUUACAUGGAUCCACCGUCAUCGGCUGCUUUUCUUUGUUACUUUAGAGCCACAUAUUAGGGAAUAUUUCUUCGCUAAUCCAAACAAACAUGUCAAAAUUAGCAACUGGCUAGUGGUGAGGAAAUCAGCGUGCUUCACCUCAGAGUCUUGUCAUGAUUUUAUUUAGACAAGAAGAUAAAGAAUCGUUGUGUCGCCGACGUGCCACCUUGCUGCGCAAGUAGUUCGUGGGACCCUUUGUCGCUGACGAUCAGUUCGCUUCUUCCAAUCCUUUUUCGACUGACUCAAGGAAAACGACAAGCAGGAAGGGAAAUGGAGAAAUGCAUAACAAUUACUCAGUUUUAAAACAUGCCAGUUCGUGUAUUAGCGUAUCUAUUAAAAUAAUUGAAACUGUCUUGUAAUUAUUUCAAUCUCCGAUUUGUUAUACAUCUCUUUGAUUUCUUAAAAUAAAUUAAAGAAUAAAUUUGGAUUAUAAAAAAAUUGUAAAGAAUAAUAAGAGAGACUUUGGAAUUGAUUGAUUGAGAUGGCAGUCGUUCAAACCAUCGACAUUUUUAUAAAAUUUCAUUUUAUUUUUAUUUUUUAAUCUCUUUUUUGACAAGUUGAUUGAGGUAGUGUGGUAGGUGAAACUAGAUCAAAGAGUCCAUCCAUAUUUUUCUUAUUUUUUUUAUUUUUUAAAAUUUAUUUUAUCAUGAUUUGUUUUUUAAUCACUCUCUCCUCUUUUCCCUACCAAAUCUGUUCCAUCCGCCCAUUGCUCAUUCCCUGUUUUGAGCCUCAUUGAUCAGCAGAUUUUUAGAUUUUAUAUAACAGAAGGUUGAUGCUAAUAGAAUUUCCCCCACGCAUACUAUUUGGGAUAAUCUUAUUAGCUGUUCAACUUGUUUGAACAAAAUAUAUAAUCCAAUUGUGCCGAUGAGAAGGAUAAAACUACUGUUAACAUUAUUUUUUUUCUUUUAUUGAAGAUUUGAAGUGGGAUUAAUUAUCAUUGUAUGCUUUUUCUAACAUUGGAAAUCAACAAAAUUAUUUAUUGAGAUUUUUUAUUUAUAAAUGGGAUAAAUUAUUUACUUAAGAAGAUAAUUUUAAUUUUAUAAUUCGAUAAUUUCAAUCAAACUUAUUUUACGAUAUGUUAAUUUCAUUGUCUGUUGAAUGUCUUUACAUGCAAUAAAAAAUACUUACACCAAUACAAUGAACUUCGUUCUACAAUUCUUUUGUAAUACAUAUGAUGAUAUUAAGUUCUUUUGUAAUACAUAUGAUGAUAUUAAGUUCAUUACGAAAAGACUCUAGAAGUCAAAGUGCUUUGACUUGCAAAAAAAAAAAAGGAUUUAUAAGUCUUUUUUUUUUUUUUGAGUACCAACUACCAAGUGGGUUUUUUUGUACUAUAAUUGCAAGUGUUGAUUUCUAUCAACAAAGAAAGAUGUGUUGUAGGCAACUGAACUCCACUUCAUUUGGGCCCAACAAUAAACUUGGCAUCCUUUUCGGCCUAAAAUAUGAUGAUUUUUGGUAUGACAUUAACAAGUUUAAGGUCAGGCCCCAAAACGGGUAAAAAAAUUUAAGGUAUGAGGUUCUCCAAAAGUAAAGAACUUUUUACAGCAUGACUAUGGGUUAGCUUUUUGGCCCAAUUAAAGCUUUUCAUGAUAAUGUUGGUUGCUCAGGUUAAUGGUUGCAAAGCAAGUUCCUAGAUUCAUUUACCAUAUGUGCACUCUGCACAGCGGCUAGACCCUUGGCCCAUCCAAACCUGCUCUCUCUUACACACACACACACACACACACACACACAUACAUGCACAUUCAUGCACGUUGGUAAUAAUGUUGCUCAAUUUCCACUUUUUUGUUCUUUACCUAAUUUUUAUUGUAUAACACUAUAACUUGUGACAAGAAAGACAUAUAAUACAGGAUUGUUCCAUUGUAUUUUGUAGAUAUCUUGUAUGAUUCAUGGUCCCCAGCCAUGACAGUUAGUUCUAUCUGUAUCAGCAUUCUCUCCAUGCUAUCGAGCUCAACUGUGAAGGUUUGAACUUUGAAUGUACAUUCAAUUGACUUUCUGGAGUGCUUUCUUAUUCCAGUAUGUCUUCAUGCCAUGCUUGUACCAUGCAUAGGGCACUACUGGGAGUGAGCACUACUGUUUUUGUAAAUAAUGGGGAUAUUGAUAUCGUAUUUUUGUUUCUUUAAGUCCAGAACUCUUUUUAAUACUUUUAGCCAUGCUUGCAGCAAUGUCCUGAAGACAACGAUCGCUAUGUAAAGAACUGUAGAAAUGGCCGGUCGCCCAAGCAGACCAGUUGGUGGUUCCAUGAUGACAAAGUUUAAUUGCAAGAGCAUCUCCCUGCAUCGAUUAGUCUAUAAGAGCUAGAGUAGACAAACUGCUUCCUCUUUUAAGGAAAACGGAAACAAAAGGAGAAAGCAUUUUCCCAAUCAAAGUUAAAUGCUUAAUAACUCCUGUAAAUGCCUAUGCUGGUAUUUGGUACGGAAAGAGAAAAGUCGGUCUUUCUUUGGCAAUGGUGUUUAACCUGUGCGAGAGAUGCUUGGUGCCCUGUAAGCACAUGAAUGAGAAACUCUCUUUCUGAAACUAUUUUCUGAACUUGAGUUUUAUAAUUAUAACUUGGCAGCAGAUGAGACUGAUGGAUCAUCCAAAGGCGAAACUUGAGUCUUGUUUUAGAGCGUUAUGUAUGCUGGAUCACUUUCAUUAAGUAACUGCAUUUUAUUUGAAAAAGAAAAAAGAAAAGGUAACGGUGGUUUUCAGUUACUUAGGUAACUCUGAUUGUGAUCAUGCAAACAUUUUCCACAAAUACAAUUAUGCAAAGUGGAACAGCAAAUACGCGGCUCCAGCCUCCAGUGAAUUUUUUUUAUUGUUUGUUUUCACAUUUUUUGAGAUUUAUCUUUGUUCCAGGGUACAAGCAUAUUGAUAGCAGCAAAGAAUCACUGAAAUUCUUGAAGGGAAAAUCGAUAGGAUAGCUUAUAAAAAGAAUCCAUCGUCAAAGUUUAGUUCUAGAACAGGUUGUGUAGAAUCAUCAAGAAAUCAUAGUAGUGAUUGAUUAUAAUGAAAACCUAAAUAUGAACUCGGCCGCGCCCGCAAAUCAAUGUCACCUGACUGUAAUCCUGGCAAUCAUACAUCAAUAUCAGCCAUGUAUGCCGGAUCACUUUCAUUAAGUAACUUUGAUUGUGACAUUUUAUUUGAAAAAGAAAAAAAAAAGGUAACGGUGGUUUCCAGUUACUUAGAUAAAUGUGAUUGUGAUCAUGCAAACAUUUUCCACAAAUACAAUUAUGCAAAGUGGAACAGCAAAUACACGGCUCCAGUCUCCAGUGAUUUUUUUUUAUUAUUUAUUUUCACAUUAUUUGAGAUUUAUCUUUGUUCCAGGGUACAAACUUAUUGAUAGCAGCAAAGAAUCACUGAAAUUCUUCAAGGGAAAAUCGAAAGGAUAGCUUAUAAAAAGAAUCUAUCGUCAAAAUUUAGUUCUGCAACAGGUUGUGUACAAUCAUCAAGAAAUCAUAGCGGUGAUUGAUUAUAAUGAAAACCUAAACAUGAACUCGGCCGUGCUUGCCAAUCAAUGUCAGCUGACUGUAAUCCUGGCAAUCAUACAUCAAUAUCAGUCAUUCUGCAUUUGAACAAACCAUUCACAAAUGCCUCGCACUUCUUCUUUGUCCCAUUUUCCUCAGAGGAGGUCUAGCAAAGUUAAAAACCAAAAAUAAUUCGUUAUCCAAAUUGCAUAAGAUAAUUUUUAACAAAUAUAGUAGAGCAGCAUCAAAUUAACAAUAUAAAUAUUGCCCACACAACUAAAUACUCAUGACUUCCGUUAAUAAUCACCUUCUUCCUCUUUUUCCAUGGUUGUCUCGACCAUGUUCUAACAGAGGUUGUAGCACACUUCUGCUUCGUUCAUGGGUUCCUAAAUCAUUCACCAACCCUUUGUUCAUGUACGUAUACUCUUGUAUGUUUCUUCAAUUGCCUGAAAUGAAUAAUGUGCCCCCAUCAUUUACCGAUGCAUAUCAUUCUAAUUUUGGUUUAACAUUGUCCAUUUAUUAGUCAUCAUCACUACAAAUGUUAGGUCGCCAAUACACUACCUCCCACUCUCUAAUUAAUAAAGAAUUCAGCUCAAGAGUAUCGACUAGGUCAGAAAUCUUAGUAGCAGACAAGAGAAGACAGAUUGAGAGGAAUUCAGCUAUAUAGUUUUCAAAUCGCAAUCUGAAAAGAAAAAUUAUCAUAUACACACAAAUAAUAGAGUCAUUCAACUUACAGAUGGGAUUUAUUCGAGUUUUUUAACUUUACAAAUGGAAUUUAUUUGUCCUUCAAGGUCCAAUACUGAUGCAUUUGAAUCGUUUGCUCAUGAGAAAGGUUGGCAAUGAGACGGAUGGUUUGUGAACUUGAUACUCUGACAUAUAUUAAUCUUAUCAUCCAUGACAGAGGGUUUUAUAAAGCCAUCAUAUUCUGAAGUUUGCAUCAAACAACAUUCUUUGUAUUGCAUUUUUCUAACAAAAUAAGUUGUUGUCAGAACAGCAGUGGGCCAGUGGCUAUGCAUGCUGUGACUAUAAUAUUUUCACCGCUUUCAAGUAGUCAAAGACAGUAUUUAUUUAGUAAAAUGAGUCAGAUGUAUAAACAAUAAAGCUGGAAUUCCAGUGCAGAAACCAGCCUGCAUGUAUGAGAACACAUCUCUUAUAAUACUCUGCCUGUUGUAUUUUAUCACAAUUUUGUAAGGAGCGCUUAUUACUAGUAACCUGCGCAUAUAAGUUACAAACAAGGCUAUAUUGUCUAAACUAGUUUAUUAAAGUUAUCUAAUUGAUUCCAGGGAGCUUCGUCUUGAUCUUCUCAAGUAUUCCUUUCUUCUCAUGGUGCUGGGGCAUUCUUUUCAUCUUCUGUUGUUGCCUUUGUUCAGCUGUUGGGGCAGCGGGAGAUUUGUCUUUUAUAAUCAUGUCGCCUUCCUCAGUCUGCACAUGGAAUUAAUAUUCACAUAUUAAAACGUUUAUCUCAAGAAAUUAAUCAGAAAUAUAAUCUCUAUGGUAUGAUGCUUAUAUAUUUCUUAUGAUCAAAGUUCUUUGAUUUGCCAUAAUUAGAUCAUACUCCAUUCCAACAACCCAGCUAACUUCUUAUUGCAUGUGAUGUGAUCUGAUCUGUGAAGCAUAAAUCUUGAGUGUUAUAGUUUUGGCUGUGGGCAUAUUGAAAAAGUUACAUAUAAAUCACUUGCCAUGAAGCAACAGAAUAUGGUUUCUACCCAAGAUUUUUAGCAGCUAAUAAGUUCCCCGACCAGCUAAACUAAGUCAAAUAUAUGCAUCUUGUUUCAGACUCAGUAGGCUUUGAAUUUUGUCUUUCAACUACCUUUUCCUCCUUUUCAACUACACCCUCUUCUGUCUUCUUCUUCUUCACGUUGAGAAAGUCUAUGAGACCUUCGAGUGCAGUUUUAGGGUCAUCACUGAUCAUAAGUUGUUGUGCAACUUCAGCUGGAGUAACUUCAAUACUUUCAAUGAGUUCAUCAAUGCAGCCGAAUAGUUUGGCUUCUUUGAUUCCAGCUUCUUUGAUUCCAAGAUAUGUAGUUGAAAGUUUUCUGAAUGCUGCUGGAGUACAAUAUCCCAUGUAAAUAUGCACAUCCAUACGCCCUGGCCGUAGCAGAGCUGGGUCUAACAUUUCUUUGUGAUUUGUGGUAAAGAUUAUGAUUCUUUCGUUUCCACAACUCGACCACAAUCCAUCAAUGAAAUUGAGUAAGCCUGACAGGGUUACCUACAAAAUUGUGGUAAAUUAGAGAUUUGAAAACUUUGACCGCUACAACCAAACCAAGAUAAGUAAAGACUAAAGACAGGUGUAAAGGAAAUAACAAUCAACAAAUGAAUUACCCCAGGAUCGAUAGCAGAAGGACUUUUGGGUUCAUCAUCUUCUUCAUCCUCAGGUUUUUCUUUGACCUGGGCACGACCACGUGAUACAUUUGUGCUACAAUCUAUGUCCUCGAUGAGCAGAAUGGACCGGUUGGUGGUGGAUGUGAGUAUACGUCUAAGAUCAGCAUCGUUUCGAACAAUUUGAAACUGAAGAUCAUAUAUAUCAUAACUCAAGUAAUUUGCAAUUGCAGCAACGAGUGAUGAUUUUCCUGUCCCUGGAGGACCAUACAAAAGGUACCCACGUUUCCAAGCCCUGCCAACAUUUUCGAAAAAUUCCUUGCGUUUCCCAAAUGAAUCAAGAUCACCCAUUAUGAAUUGCUUAAGCUUUGGCUCGAUUGCCAGUGUCUCAAAUUUUGCUGGGUGCUUGAAAACUGCGGACUCCCACAUGGAGCAGUCUUGGUCAUAUGUGUAAAUGCUGAGGCUCUCACGCUUGUUCAGAAUUACUUGUGCUUCUUUGCUAAUGUAGGUGAAGUACCUUUGCUCAACUCUUUCUCUAGCGCUUUUCUUACAGGUCACGGCGAAGUAUCUCUUAUUGGGAACGUAGCACUUUUUGGUUUCAAUUGAAGAGAAAGUCCACUCCAAGCGUAUCCCCUCAAAAUCAUCCAUGAUCGUGCAAUUUACAGGGAUGCUUCGUUUGGGUGGUGCUGUGGGUUCAUUGGAGUCGUUGAAACCUACAAGUAGACUGUCGCUGGAAGGGCCAAUUCUGGUUGGCAAGUAGACCUCAGCAGCCCGAAACAGUUGGUUAUCAGAAGCUUGCCAGCGGUCUUCGAUAAAGAAGGUGAACUCUGAAGAGAAGUAAGUGGAUGUCAGCUCGGAAAAUUUUGAGGCAAUGUAGUCUCUCAUCCGUUCUGGAACCAUUUCAUUUAAGAUUGUGCGGAUUAGCAUGACCAUGGCUGAGAUAGAGGCAUAAGCGGAGAGAAGAACGGAAAAAGAAGGUAGCUCUUUCAACAGGGUAGCCAUUCCUGCGUUUUACUUGUUCUGCUCUUGAAAACAGAGAGAAACAGUGAAGGCUGAAAGCAAGAGGAAAAGAGGAAAAGGUUCAAGUACGUAGCCGACUGAAGGCUAAGUAACACUAAGUACUCCUUAUAUAGCAAAAAAGCAUUGUGUAUGAAAAUGAAAAGUCUUCGUCGUGUCCAUAUUCAAUAGCAAUACAGUCACGAGUCAUGACUAGUCCCAUCAGGGACGAAGGAGCCUGC